rnacentral:rRNA from 1 species
UUAAUUGACCUCGGAUCAGGUAGGGAUACCCGCUGAACUUAAGCAUAUCAAUAAGCGGAGGAAAAGAAACCAACAGGGAUUGCCUUAGUAACGGCGAGUGAAGCGGCA